GUGACAGCCCUGGAGAUUGAUGUCCUCCGUCUAUCCACAGAACAGGACAGCUGGAGCCAUGACAUUACAGAGUUCUUCCCAUCUUACCUUGCCAGUGCAUCUCAUGCCUAGAGGGACAUCCAUUAGGGGUGAUAGGUAAUUUAGACUCCAUGACCCAUUCAGUCCUUGGCCCCU
rnacentral:sRNA from 1 species